AUCUUUUCUUCGUUCAUCCCUAGUUCAAUGAAUAGAAGCCUCCACUUGCCGACAACCCUUUCUUUACCAUCGUUUAUCUCUUCCAUGCUCUACAUGCCAGAAAAUGCCACAGUCACUGACUACCCUCCAUGUCCUUCCUUUCUUUGUUGCCGGCAAACUUCUAGCACAAGAUAUAUGUACAUCUGUCUUCACAUGUCCGAUGACUCGAAACCUGACGAACAGAAAGGUGAAAACUUGAUUUUGGGAUUUUCGUUUUUUUACAAGAUAAUUUUAUUGAAUCUCUCUUCCUUUUGGGUUUCUAUGUACCUGAAGUUUCUCAAAUCCAUCUUCAUUCUUAAUCAAGGUGAAAACCUGUAGAAUUUUGAAGGUCAAAAGUUCUUGAUUGGGUGAUGGUGGAACAAGAAAUUAGAAUGCAAAAACCAGGUAUUGAUGUUCAUUUAUUUAGUUUUUUCUUCAUUGAAGAUGCUUUGAUGAUUAGCAACUGAAAUUGGUGGAUAAUAGACGAUGGAAGAGGAUCGAUUUUUUUAUUUUUUUUUUUCUGAAAAUGAUAUUUGAAUUUUUUUUUUGGGUCGAUGUGCUUUCUUUAUUAUUUUGUGGGUUGUAAGGAAGACGAUGACACCAUGGUAGGCUCAGAAAGAAGACAAAUUGAUCUAUUCACCGACAUUUGGGAAUUCAGAUGGGAGAGAGAUAUUAGGUUGAUGACAGUGAGAGAAAGUUGGUGGUAGCUGAAGAUUUUACUGGAGAAGGUAACAAUAGAAAGGGAAUUGGUAGGAACGUGAAUGGUGGAUUGGUGUCACAACUGGCAUUUUUAGCCAGGAAAUUCUAUGAUCAUGUAAACAUCAUCUAUGAUAAUACUUGUAACUCUAACUUGAUACCAUGCACUAUGUUCAUUCUA